CCACUUCAUCAAUUCACGCAACCGACACAUGCACAUGGGCCCGCUUCAACUCCAGCCCGCUCGUGCACAUGGCCAGCACUCCAAACUCCCGCACUUGGGCACCUUCCACGGACAGCCCAGGCGUUUCACGUGGACCAAUCGCGCACUCGAUCCACUCCCUCACGUGGCCAACAAUUCCUAAUUAGGGCGCUCCUCUGCACCUAUUUAAAGGCUCUUCAGUGAACAAUUCAACAACAAUUUCUCCUCUCGGCAAUUCCGCAGUUCGGCGCAAGGCAGAAUUUCUUCGGUUCUUUUCUUCCUUUCCCUUUUAUUUUUUAUUUUUCUGUUUUUAAAUCAGCCAAUGAGUGGCUGAUUUCUUUUCAUCUAGUUGAAUAUUGGUUGAAACUUUAGUUGUUUAAUGGGUUGUGAGACUUGAUCAAAUAUUGUUUAACUUUUGGGAAUUCAAUAUUCAUGCAAAUUCAUAUUUAAUUUUCAUAUUAUUUUGUUAUUGAGAUUUACGUUGAUUUUUUAUUGCAAAAUAAUUAUUUGUUAGUUUGAAUAAUUUAAGUCCGUAAUUGCUUAGAUUAUUCUUACAUGAGAACACUUGGGAUAAAACCCAAGGAAAUUGUAUGAUCUAGCGUUAUCUCAUACGUUUGGGUAGCUAGGAUUUGAUCUCUCUAUUUCUUAAUGCAAUUGACAAUUGUUUUGAUGUCUAAGGCCCAAGGACGUUCCUUGGCAAUUUGUUAAUUAGUAAUUAAUUAGAGAACGUUCCCUAACUGGUUUAAUCAUAAGGAGAGAUAAUGGUGGUGAGAAGCGUCUUCCAUCUCCAUAACUAAUCUAUUGGAUCAACCCAAAAGAACAAAGUGUCUGUGAUCAAUUCCAACAACUAAAGUGGAUCCAAUACUUCAACUAGAGCUUUCUCAUUAUUGAUUACUUUUUAUUUAAUUAUUUGCUUUCCAUUAUUAUUCUCAUUAUUAGUUUACUACAAUCAAUCUCAAACCCCCAUGUUAUUUUGUUGACAGUUUUUUUAUCCCAAUUUCAGUUUAUCUCGUUUGAUUCAAAUUUCAGUUUAUCUCGUUUGAUCCCGCUUUCAGUUUUUAUCUCAUUUUUAGUUUAUUAUUGUCCCAGUUUAUUUUCUUAGUCAUAAAAAGAGAAAUAUGUGAGUUCUCAAUUCUCUGUGGAUUCGAUCCUUUCACCACUAUCUGCAGUUGUAAAUUGUUGAUAACCAAGAAAGGUUAUUUUUGACCGGUUUCGACAACCGCGAGUCAAAAAUUGAUGCCGUUGCCGGGGAGUUGAUUUAACUUGUUUAUUCUUUUUCAUGACCAGAUUUGAAUAAUAAUAAAAAAAAUAAAUAAAAAAAGGGAGAGCACACCAUCGCAGAUCAUGCUUGAGGACCUCCAGAAUCGCACCAAACCAUCGCAGGAUUGAUUCAUGGAUGAGAUAAGUACAUAUAAUUCCCCUUCUCAAAUUCCUGACCUAACCUCUAUUGUGGAAAGCUAUGUCAUAGCUCUACAGGAGCGACGACUUCAGCAGUCUCAACCAUGUAGGAUCUGUGGAUAUGUGGGACAUCUAACGUCCCAAUGUCCUACACUUUAUGAGGAUGACCAACCAGUUCAUGCAUAUGGAGGAUUCUAUGAAUAACCAAGACAUGAUCCCUACCAUGACACAUACAAUCCAUAUUGGGGAGACCAACCGAACUAUGGCUAUGCUGAGGCUAACAACUACUAGGAUUAUCAAGGAUAUCAAGCCCAACCAGAACCUUCAAAUCCAAAUCAGCACCUUGAAAAGAUGAUGGAAACAAUGAUGGAAACAAUGGUAAGUUCCAUGCAAAGCCUGCGACAGGAAAUAGGACAGCUGCCUGCAUCCAUGUUGAGAAGAGAGCAAGAGCUUCAAGAUGUGGAGGAUGAAGAUGAAAGUUGGCAAGUACAAGAACAAGCUGCUGAAGAGGCACCAGCUCAAACAAACUGAUCAAACAGAGCCUGUUGAUAAUUUAGAUAUCAUUGAUUGUUUGAGUGAAAAUGUUUUUUUAUGUAAAUCAAGAUAAUAUACUAAAUGAUGAUCUUUGCAGGGAAGAGACUCAGAAAGAGCCAGAAUUGAAAGAAACUGACUGUUGCAUCAAACAGGUGAACUGCAGCCAAGCACAGACUGAAGAGAGCUCUAUCGCACCACUUCAGGAAAGACUUGCGCAAAUUGAAGCCAUGACUUUUCGGCCGCCGAACCUUUCACCUCAGCUCCCAUCGCAAACUGAAACCAUCCUUCGGCCGCCGAACUCAGCCAUCUUUUGGCCGCCGAAUUCGACUACUCUUCAACCCCCUUUCAGUCAGAUUUUGCGCAGAAGGAACGAUCUGAAACUCCUUUCAGCCUUCCAACGCAAACAACCCAUGCUCACAAGGAACAAAUGGUAGUCCAAGCACCUAAACCAAAGGACCAUGCGGGUCAAUGCCUUCCUAAACCUCCAGAUAAAGUAGAGUUUGUUUUGCCUGAAUUUAGUACUAAAUUGCAGCUAGCCAUGGAGAAACAUGAAUUAGAAUUCAAAGUGCUACCCAAUCAUCUCAAAAAUGCAAACAUAAGGGCUAGAGGCACACCUCAUCUGAAAGAGGACAAGCUAAUUAUGUUACUUCAUGAGUACAUGGAAAAAAUAGAAUGGGCUAUGACCAAAUCAAAAGGAGUGCUACACUUUUUGCUCAAUACAGUUGGGACGCUUUUUCCUUCCCCAAUUACUUAAGCCUUGAUCAAGUGGAUCGCACCAUGCACACCACACCCAGGGGAGUACUCAGUUUUCUUUGUUCUUUUAUGUUUCUUAUACAUUGAGGACAAUGCAUGAUUUAGGUGUGGGGGUGCAUAUUUCUGAAUUUUUACUUUUUGAGUUUAUUCUUGCUUUGAUUUUUAGUUUUCUUGCAUUAGUUGAAAUUUUUUUCAUUUUUGCUUUCAAUAACACAUACAUUUAGCCACAAUUUUUUUUAUUUAUUUUGUUUCAGUUUUGAGAUGCUUUACUCAAUCUGAUGAACUAUGUUGGAUGAGCUUUUCUUUCCAUGACCCCAUUGAUGUGAUGACUCUUUAAACUUAUGUUGAAUCAAUUGCAGUGAGUUAUAUUCAUGUUUGAGAAUUGCCUUUUUGAAUUGAAUCUUGGAGCUUACCAUGGUGAAAAAUAUAUCGAUGACCCUCAAUUGAUGAGAAUAAAUUGAAAUUGUAUGAAUAAACUUAACAUGACUUGAUUUAGCAAUUGGUGUUGAUUUGCCCAAAUCAUUGAGAGAAAGAAAAUUCAGCAAAGACAAAGUCCUCAAAAGCACAAAUUCAAAAACUGUUCCAAUAGUCAAAAGACUAUGAACAAGGCUACUAGCCACUUGGAUAGGUGACCAACUGAAAAAUCCAAAAGUGUACAUCAAAAAUAGGUUGGUAACCUUUCCAAGCAAGAUCUAAAGUGCAAAAGUCUGAAUAAAGUACUUCAAGGUAAGGGCAAGUCACUCUGGAAGCUAGAAAAAAGUCUUAACAAAAAUGUGCAUGUAUGGUCUCUCUUGAGGAAAACAAAUCCUAGCCAUGUUAAGUAAAGGGAAACGAGGAAAGAAGGUGAGUAAUCUUCAUGCAUAUAUUCUUCACUACAAUGAUUCAAAAUAGGUGUUUAGAGUAAGAGCUAAAAGUGGUAAUAAGGAUCUAGAGCAAAGAAAGCUUAUUUGACUAUGUUUAUUUGCUUGAGGACAAGCAAAAGGCUAAGUGUGGGGGUAUUUGAUAGAGCAUAAUUUAGUCCAUUUUAUAUUAAUAUUAUUGAUGAAUAUUUACAUGAUUUCUGCUCAAUUUAGUGCUUUUAAUAUUAUUUUGCAGAAAAUGGUGUAAAAGGACUAUUUGGAGAAAAUCCCCCUAAAACUGCCUUAUUGGAGCAAAAAAGAUCAAGCCUGUCAAAUUGGAUCCACAUCAAGCAACUUGGCUUUUGGGCCUGCUUAUGGAUCAGCCCAUUCCCGCACUUGGGCCCUCUCCGCUCUUGCACAUGGACAGCCCAAGCACUUCACGGGAACCAAUUCCCGUACAUGCACCGUGGACCAUACUCCCACUUCAUCAAUUCACGCAACCAACACAUGCACAUGGGCCCGCUUCAACUCCAGCCCGCUCGUGCAUAUGGCCAGCACUCCAAACUCCCGCACUUGGGCACCUUCCACGGACAGCCCAGGCGUUUCACGUGGACCACUCGCGCACUCGAUCCACUCCCUCACGUGGCCAGCAAUUCCUAAUUAGGGCGCUCCUCUGCACCUAUUUAAAGGCUCUUCAAUGAACAAUUCAACAACAAUUUCUCCUCUCGGCAAUUCCGCAGUCCGGCGCAAGGCAGAAUUUCUUCGGUUCUUUUCUUCCUUUCCCUUUUAUUUUUUAUUUUUCUAUUUUUAAAUCAGUCAAUGAGUGGCUGAUUUCUUUUCAUCUAGUUGAAUAUUGGUUGAAGUUUUAGUUGUUUAAUGGGUUGUGAGACUUGAUCAAAUAUUGUUUAACUUUUGGGAAUUCAAUAUUCAUGCAAUUUCAUAUUUAAUUUUCAUAUUA
rnacentral:lncRNA from 1 species